UGCCCGCUAGACAUGUACACUUAACAAUCAUUCCAUACAACAAAUAUAGUAGACCUAUUGCAUAUGGUAUGAGAAAAACAGACCAAAACACAAAAAUUUAACUAUAACCACUGAACCAUGAAAAUGAGGUCAAGGUCAGAUGACACCUGCCAGUUGGACAUGUACACCUUAAAGUCCUUCCAUACACCGAAUAUACUAGCCCUAUUGCUUAUAGUAUCUGAGAUAUGGACUUGACCACCAAAACUUAACCUUGUUCACUGAUCCAUGAAAUGAGGUCGAGGUCAAGUGAAAACUGUCUGACAGACACGAGGACCUUGCAAGGUACGCACAUAUCAAAUAUAGUUAUCCUAUUACUAAUAAUAAGAGAGAAUUCAACAUUACAAAAAAUUUGAACUUUUUUUUCAAGUGGUCACUGAACCAUGAAAAUG
rnacentral:lncRNA from 1 species